CCCUUUGUUGUUAAAACUACCUUGUUGCUUUGGCGGGACCGCUCGGUUCCGAGCCGCUGGGGAUUCGUCCCAGGCGAGUGCCCGCCAGAGUUAAACCAAACUCUUGUUAUUAAACCGGUCGUCUGAGUUAAAAUUUUGAAUAAAUCAAAACUUUCAACAACGGAUCUCUUGGUUCUCGCAUCGAUGAAGAACGCAGCGAAAUGCGAUAAGUAAUGUGAAUUGCAGAAUUCAGUGAAUCAUCGAAUCUUUGAACGCACAUUGCGCCCCUUGGUAUUCCGAGGGGCAUGCCUGUUCGAGCGUCAUUACACCACUCAAGCUAUGCUUGGUAUUGGGUGCCGUCCUUAGUUGGGCGCGCCUUAAAGACCUCGGCGAGGCCACUCCGGCUUUAGGCGUAGUAGAAUUUAUUCGAACGUCUGUCAAAGGAGAGGAACUCUGCCGAUUGAAACCUUUAUUUUUCCAGGUUGACCUCGGAUCAGGUAGGGAUACCCGCUGAACUUAAGCAUAUCAAUAAGCGGAGGAAAAGAAACCAACAGGGAUUGCCCUAGUAACGGCGAGUGAAGCGGCAACAGCUCAAAUUUGAAAGCUAGCCUUCGGGUUCGCAUUGUAAUUUGUAGAGGAUGCUUUGGGUAAAACGCCAGUCUAAGUUCCUUGGAACAGGACGUCAUAGAGGGUGAGAAUCCCGUAUGUGACUGGAAAUGUUAACCUAUGUAAAGCUCCUUC
rnacentral:rRNA from 1 species